rnacentral:lncRNA from 1 species
CGUGCUCAGGAGACAUGAAGUUCAGUCACAGCAAAGACCAUAAAGCAGCAUGAUGUUUCCCUCAAAGAUGCUUGUAGGUGGAUCUGACUGUGGCCAAUCAACACCUGCGCCUUGCCGCCCUGAUCAGAUACCCAGCUGGGAUAAUGAGCUCGCCAAAGGAGAAGACUGAAAGCACUGACACGAGGAAGGAACGAGUCAGAGGACCAGUGAGUGUCAGCAGAACCACUGUUCAGGACGAGACCACAGACAUCAGCCACAACUGACCGUGUACUUAGUGAAUACCUCAGACAGCAGAAAGCAGAGAAAGAGGAGGAGCAAGGAGAGCAGCCAUGAUGAAAGGACAGGUAUGUACCAGCAGCAGAUAGAGGAAGUGGCUCUAUAGAUAUUUAUAGUCAGUCCUCAUGCAUAUGCUGUGCAUAUAGUAAGUGUCUGUCAUGAAGGUGUCAUAUGUGCAUAUCUGUGGUCAGUAAAGCUGAUUGUGAUUAAUAGCUACACUACAGAGAGCCCAAAGAGUUGUUGCAUUGCUUGUUAGCCUUGUUUAGGGAGGGCUGGGGUUUCUUUGGAGCCCCAAUUCAUUAAAGUUAGUUCGGCACCAAGUGAAAAGAAUCCCUGAAGACUCAGCACAGAAAGUGUGGGACAGAAGUUUGCUGUGGAGACAUGGACUGAGUUAGAAAACUAGCCAACAUGAUUUAUAACGGACAGUCAUCAUUAAUGAUGGAGAACUGAAAGGACAUGAAGGCUGCGCUGUUAGAUUUUUUGAUAGCUGGAAACUUUAACUGUCAUCAGAAAACAUAAAAUAUUCUGGAUCCUC